AUUGAACGCUGGCGGCAGGCCUAACACAUGCAAGUCGAGCGGAUGAAGGGAGCUUGCUCCUGGAUUCAGCGGCGGACGGGUGAGUAAUGCCUAUGAAUCUGCCUGGUAGUGGGGGAUAACGUCCGGAAACGGGCGCUAAUACCGCAUACGUCCUGAGGGAGAAAGUGGGGGAUGUUCGGACCUCACGCUAUCAGAUGAGCCUAGGUCGGAUUAGCUAGUUGGUGGGGUAAAGGCCUACCAAGGCGACGAUCCGUAACUGGUCUGAGAGGAUGAUCAGUCACAGUGGAAGUGAGACACGGUCCAGACUCCUACGGGAGGCAGCAGUGGGGAAUAUUGGACGAUGGGCGGAAGCCUGAUCCAGCCGUGCCGGGUGUGUGAAGAAGGUCUUCGGAUUGUAAAGCACUUUAAGUUGGGAGGAAGGGUAGUAAGUUAAUACCUUGCUGUUUUGACGUUACCAACAGAAUAAGCACCGGCUAACUUCGUG
rnacentral:rRNA from 1 species